rnacentral:rRNA from 1 species
AUUGAACGCUGGCGGCAUGCUUUACACAUGCAAGUCGAACGGUAACAGGCCUUCGGGUGCUGACGAGUGGCGAACGGGUGAGUAAUGCAUCGGAACGUGCCCAGAGGUGGGGGAUAACGCAGCGAAAGCUGUGCUAAUACCGCAUGUGAUCUGAGGAUGAAAGCGGGGGACCAGGCAGCAAUGUUUGGCCUCGCGCCUUUGGAGCGGCCGAUGUCAGAUUAGGUAGUUGGUGGGGUAAAGGCCUACCAAGCCGACGAUCUGUAGCUGGUCUGAGAGGACGACCAGCCGCACUGGGACUGAGACACGGCCCAGACUCCUACGGGAGGCAGCAGUGGGGAAUUUUGGACAAUGGGCGCAAGCCUGAUCCAGCAAUGCCGCGUGCGGGAAGAAGGCCUACGGGUUGUAAACCGCUUUUGUACGGAACGAAAAGGCUCUGGCUAAUACCUGGGGCUGAUGACGGUACCGGAAGAAUAAGCACCGGCUAACUACGUG